rnacentral:lncRNA from 10 species
GCGUGCCGCUAAGUUGUGCGUUCCAGGGUGCACUCGCCGGCGAGGCUGCACGGCGCCGGUUUCAUUGCUAAAAUCCGACGGACUUGUUGCAGAACUCGUUUUUUUUGUCGGGAAAGGGCUUCCCCGUGUAACUUUACAGCAGUUAUCGUAGAUAAGACUUGCAAAUUACAGAUGUGGACGGUGAGGGAACGGGAAUUUCACUGAAAGCGCCUGAGAACCAGUAAGAGACCUGCAACAGCUUUGUGCUCCACUGGCGAAUGCUUCCUCCCCUAAUACACAUUAUGUGUGCUUGGAGACACAAGGAGUAAGAUACAGCCCCUCAAGGGACUCGUCAUAGGGAGAGGACACAGCUUUGGGAAUAAAGGGGCCACAAAGGAGGAGAGAGGAGUUUGCUGAAACUUCCCAAGCUCCCAUUCCAGCAGUUCCUGAAGGAUUCAUUUCUCUCUGAGGAUCUCAUGAGGUGGCUUAGCAGCUAGAAUCUCUUCCUUAACAGUGGGAAGAACAACUCCUGGAAAUUUAGGUCGACUUUGACUGGAUUUAAAAGAAAGCUGUACAAUUCCACUUCUGUAUAUACAACCAAAGGAAAUGAGAUGUGCAUACCCAUGUUCAAUGAAGCAUUAUUCACAAUAGCCAAAAUGUGGAACCAAUCCUUAAACAAAAGGAAAACAGAAAAUCUGCUCAAGGCACCUGAGAAAAUCACAACCCACACUUGCGAACCCCUAGGAGACCUAAAGCUGUGGUUUUACAAAUAAACAGAUAAGUAACAUUCCUACUCUUUCCUAUAGGUACUCAAUCUUCUUAACAACUCCCAUCCCACACAGGUUUGCAUCCCCAGCAGAUACAUAUGGCUAUGUGGUCACCCAUUCGAUCAGCCUAUAAAAGACUUGUCUUAUUUGAUAUUGUGAAACCCAUGGUUAUCAGUGUAUAUGAAAAUGUUUGGUUCAGGGGUCAAUGUACAAUAUGACAAGCAAAGUCCUCUAAUACACAGUUAUAUAAAAUCACUCACCUGAGAGCCAAGUGGACAAUUGGCCUUAUAUUGGCUGGAGUUGGAGCCCCAGAGGGAAAAUUUGCCUAUUAUUAGGCAACUCUUCAAAACUUUACUUAUUCGUUUCUAAACACUGUCUCAUAAAAUGGGGGAUGCUUUAGAUGAAUUAAGAUUAGCACUAGAUUACUUAUUCGUUGAAAAUUAGCACUAGAUUUCUUAUUGGUUGAACAAGGAGGAGUGUGCACCAUAAUCAAUAUAACCUGCUGCAGUUAUGUAAACACCUCAGGUCACAUAGAAGAAGAUAUACAGAAAAUACAUGAACAAGCUGUGUGGUUGCGUAAAUAUAACCAAGGCACCAAUCCCAACUGUAUCUGGUCAGCCAUUAGAAGCACCCUCCUGAGUCUCACUUGGUUGUUGCCCUUCCUAGGAACUUUGAUAGUUGUCUUAUUAUUAAUCUUUGGCCCUUGCUUGUUUAAAUUCUUGGUAAAGUUUGUGUUUUUUAGAUUACAACAAUUCCACAUAAAGAUGAUACUGACACAAAGCUUCCAAUCCAUCCCGUCUUCUGAACCGGGAAAUAAAGACACCCUGCCUUUAGGUGUCUUUAGAUCUAGAUCAGGCAUCUAGAGAUUUUUACUCCUCCAAUACUUGGCAGGGUCUAUGCCCGUAGACUCAUCAGGAUACCAUGUAAAUGAGGACCUCCCUUGGUACCCCAGAGGCCAACUGUAGACCCUUAUGAGAAAAUCCUGUCCCCAAAAUGAACAUCCACUGUCAGCAGGAAGAAGUUACAGAAGACCAGCCUUUGCCCUUACGAUUAAGGGUCCUCUUGUAAGUAGAGAGGGGAAUGUUAGGAAAGCAGGAGCCUAGGUGAUCCAGAGUGACACCAUUUUAAAAUAAACUCCACCUGAAAACUAGCAAGGCAUCUGCACACAUCUGUUUAGCAAGUAUAUACUUCUGUAACUGGAAUAAAAAGCGUUAUUUUAGAAUAUGCCUAUAGUUUGUAAUAAUUAGCCGAGGGAAAAAAAGUUCACAUUGGUGUAGGAAAAGUGCCCUAAUGGUCAUGGGUAAUAAUGGGACCGUGGUUCUGGUCAGUGAUUUGAUGGAAGGGGUGUAGAUAAUAUAUUGUUGUAAAUAAUAAAAAUAAAAAAUUGUUGUAAGUAAUAAAAAUAAAAUAAUAUUGUUGUAAGUAAUAAAGUAGGAGAAAUAUUUGGUCUUUUGCUUUUGGGUUAGUGCAACAGUAGUACCAUUACUUGGAGGAGAAGUUAGAGAAGGACAAGAAUAGGCUUGAAUAAGAUGAGUGAGAAGAGAGAAAAAUUCCGUAAGUGGAGAUGGCCAGGGAACACCAGGGCAGCAGAAUCUAACUCUGAAUUUAAUGCUGUUGUCUGUUCAUAUUGCACUGCGCUGUAAUCUCCCUAUCUUUCCUAAACCAUUGGCAAAGUCUGCUAUCCACUGGGGCCUUGGGUCGGUGGUGCUUUGGGAAAUACCAGAAGAGGGAAAGUACGGCAAAUGUGCAGUGUCACAGAUGAUAGGAGGAAAGCUGGCCAGUGGGAUGAUUAAAACAAUUUCGGUGGGAGUGGGAAUUCAGACCAUGUAAAUGGUCUGAAUUAAGAAAAUUUCAAGAAACAAAAAAUGUUUCUAAUGAGCCAAAGUGAAAGCUCUUCAUGAUUUCUUUAUAGAGGCUCUCUAGUGCUUGUCCUAAUUUCCUGAAAUCUCAUGGGUAUCUUACUCUCCUGGUGCCCGCCUCAAACAUUCACUGUAGCAAUUAUAUGAGCAGCCUAGAGAAUCCCAAUCCCAGUGGUCUUGCUCCCUGGAUCUACUUUCUCUUAAAAAUCAUUCCCCUAAGUUUCCGUCACUUGGUUGAAGUUUAGUAGAUAUCUCCACAUCUCCAGCUAGAACAGCACCAGAAUUUCAGGACUAGGGCAAUAGAGUCUGAUAUUAAAUUCUAUUUCUAUCUAUCUAUCUAUCAUCUAUCUAUCUAUCUAUCUAUCUAUCUAUCUAUCUAUCUAUCUAUCUACAGAACAAUUUGUGGGAUAGUAGCUUUGGGGUCCCAGAUCUAGGAUGGGCCUGGUCCUCCAUGCUGGUUCUCCUGGGUGAUAUUUCUGUUAGUUUGAACAGUAAUCACACUUUUAUUACUGUUUCAUCUUUUUUUUUUCACUCUUAGACUGAUUUUAUCAUGUGUAUAAAACAUACACACACCUACAUCUCAAGGAUAAACAUUAAUCCUUGAAAAAUAUGUGGUCUAAAACUAUAUUGAGGAGAGAAAGAUAGGACACUUUAAUUGCCACAUGAUUAACACGAGGUCACCACACAGCUUUCACAAAUCUACAAGUCAUUCUAUUUAGGCUGAGUCAAGUUCUCCCUUGGGCCAGCCAGAGCACAAAUAAUGGAGCAAUGUGACUCUUCAAUGACAGAUCUCUGAUUUCCAGAAAAGAGACUUUGAAAUACCCAAUUCUAGUAAAUAUGCAAUUAAAUUUCCAGCUAAAUGACCUUUGCUCCUGUAGUCUUCAUCUUGGGGAAGGGAAAGAAGUCUUAUUCUGUUUAAUAGUUUGAUUUUUAUAAUAGGGUUUGUCUCUGUUAUAAAUCUUGUUUGAUAUUUAAAAUGUUAGCUAAGAGAAAACUUCUGUUUGUUUUUAUUUAGUGGGAAGAAACUAACCCUCAUUGAGUGCCUAGUUAACAUCAGGCACUUUGUACACAUAAUCAAUUGAAUCUUGACCACAACCCUGUGAGGUGAAAAAUGAGAAGAUUAAAUAAGCCAUGGGAAGAUUUUUUAAAAUGACAUGAAACUCCAAGGGUAAAAAGUAACCUUCUCCCGCAGUAUCCUGGUUCCCAUGCUUUCUGUACCCACGUGCCUACUCUUGCAAUCUAUACAUUGUUCCUGUUCAGCAGAGUUUGGAUGAAUACCCAACAGCCUGAGGAGACUGACUGUUACUUGAAAUGAAGGAGUGUUCUUGUUUGAACGAUCCUGCUCAGAAGGACCAGCCUGGGCUUGCAUCUCUUGUAGUAUUUUACUAAACCCUGCAACAGUAGCCACUUUUUUUCCCUGCCAAGUUAUCUAAAUGUAGAGCUUCCUGUGGUCUGAGUUUUAAGAGAUUACAGGUGAUAAUUAACUAAUUAUUUGCUUUACUAUAGAAUCUAUGUAUAGGUGGAAUCGAAGGUGGUGGAAUCUUUACUGAUUCCCUGACCCACUUCACUCAGUGAGUUACAUAUUUGAGGGAUAUCAGUGAAGUGUAUCACUAUGGUCUACUUGUUUGCAACUUACAAAAACCCAACAUGAAUAACCUUGGUAUCCAUGGGCUCUUGCUUCCAAGUUACAAAAACCUAGCAUGCAUAACCUUAGAGAAAAAAGGGAACAUUUUGACUGAUAGAAACCAUGAAAUGAGCGAAAAACAAAACAAAGAAAGUGGGCAGAAAUACAACUGGGAGCAGAAACUUGAAACCAUUCAACUUAAAGAAGACUUUCCCUCUCUCUUAUGUGAAGUGGUGUAUGUAGCAUAGUGGUUAAGAGCAGAGAUGCUAGCCCUAAUAGAUCUGGGUUCAAAUCUUAGCUUUAUUUCUCUUCUGUGACAUAAGGCAAGAAGCCCAAAACUUCUGUGCCCCAGUUUACCUAUCAAUAAGGUAUGAUAAUAGUAGUACCCACCUCAUACAUUUAUUAUGAGCAUUAAGAGAGUUAUCAUAUGACAAACGUUUGAAUUUGUGCCUAGCACAUAGCGGGACCUAUGUAUAAGUGCUACCUGUUAUUAUUAUGGUAUCUCUGAGAACAUUGAUUUCAGUUGUUCACCAUUGACUUGCUUUUGUUAUAGAGUUAGGAAAUAUGGCCAAUAAAAAUGUUUGAUUCGUAAGUCUAACUGCAACAGGAGAAUUCUGAUCUUUCCCUCAUCUUAAGUCCAAAGAUGUAAGGGAGGCUCUCUUUGCUAGCAUGAGUCUGGUGCUCACUCCUCAGCCAAUGAAAUCUCACCAAAUUUGUGGAGUUUGGGAAGAGUUUGACAGCUACUAUGGCAGUCAUGUGGACAUCCUUGAGCAGCUGAAG